rnacentral:rRNA from 1 species
UUGAACGCUGGCGGCAUGCUUUACACAUGCAAGUCGAACGGCAGCGCGGGCUUCGGCCUGGCGGCGAGUGGCGAACGGGUGAGUAAUGCAUCGGAACGUGCCCAGUAGUGGGGGAUAGCCCGGCGAAAGCCGGAUUAAUACCGCAUACGACCUGAGGGUGAAAGCGGGGGACCGAAAGGCCUCGCGCUAUUGGAGCGGCCGAUGUCGGAUUAGCUAGGUGGUGGGGUAAAGGCUUACCAAGGCGACGAUCCGUAGCUGGUCUGAGAGGACGACCAGCCACACGGGGAGUUGGUCACGGCCGGGACCCUCACGGGAGGCCGCAGGCGGGGAGCGUGGACAACGCGGGUGACUUUGCGCCAGCUCUGCCGCGGGAUGGAAGAAGGCCGUCGGGUCGCGAACCGGGUUUGGGCGGGAAGAAAACCUCUGGGCGAAUAGCCAGGGGGGGGGACGGUACCGGAAAAAGAAGGACCGCCGACGUAUGCG